rnacentral:rRNA from 1 species
GGGUGAGUCGGGUCCUAAGGCGAGGCCGACAGGCGUAGUCGAAUGGAUGAACGGGUGGAUAUUCCCGUACCGACCAUGGACCGGCAAAACCGAGACGGUGAGUACUAACCUCCGCCUCGUGGUGGUUCCUUCCUUCGGGUUGGUUCCGCCGCGUGGUGUUGGGACUGUAGCCGCAGUAGGUCAGCGCAGGGGUGACACGGAAUGGGAGCCGGCCGCGGAGGUGGUUUUCCGUGGUCAAGCACGCAGCCAGUCAUGUAGGCAAAUCCGCAUGGCGCGCAUGGCGAGGUGUGAUGAUGGGAGCCGUUAUGGCUCGAUAUCCGGUUGUCCAGGCCGUCGAGAAAAGCCUCGGCGUGAGGGCCAUGGCCGCCCGUACCCCAAACCGACACUGGUGGUCAGGUAGAGAAUACCAAGGCGAUCGAGCGAAUCCUGGUCAAGGAACUCGGCAAAUCACUCCCGUGCCUUCGGUAUAAGGGAGACCCACUGGGGUGAAGGACCUUGCGUCCGGAGCUUUGGUGGGUGGCACAGACCAGGGGGUAGCGACUGUUUACCAAAAACACAGGUGCAUGCGAAGGCGAAAGCCGCUGUAUAUGCACUGACGCCUGCCCGGUGCCGGAAGGUUAAGAGGAUCCGUCAACUCUUCGGAGCGAAGCGGUGAAUUCAAGCCCCGGUAAACGGCGGUGGUAACUAUAACCAUCCUAAGGUAGCGAAAUUCCUUGUCGGGUAAGUUCCGACCUGCACGAAUGGCGUAACGACUUCCCCACUGUCUCGACCAGGAGCUCGGCGAAAUUGCAGUACGAGUAAAGAUGCUCGUUAAGCGCAGAAGGACGAAAAGACCCCGGGACCUUUACUAUACCUUGGUAUUGGCGUUAGGCGCGGAUUGUGUAGCAUAGGCGGGAGGCUUCGAAGCGUGGGCGCCAGCUCAUGUGGAGCCGCAAGGUGAAAUACCGCUCUGUUCUCGUUUGACGUCUAACCUCGACAAGUCAUCCUUGUCAGGGACAGUGCCUGGCGGGUAGUUCAACUGGGGCGGUUGCCUCCCAAAGAGUAACGGAGGCGCUCAAAGGUCCGCUCAGCCCGGUUGGCAAUCGGGUGUCGAGUGUAAUCGCACAAGCGGGCUUGACUGCGAGGACGACGGUCCGAGCAGGGACGAAAGUCGGAGAUAGUGAUCCGGUGCCGGCGCACGGGCGCGGCAUCGCUCAACGGAUAAAAGGUACCCCGGGGAUAACAGGCUGAUCAUUCCCAAGAGUCCAUAUCGACGGGAUGGUUUGGCACCUCGAUGUCGGCUCGUCGCAUCCUGGGGCUGGAGCAGGUCCCAAGGGUUCGGCUGUUCGCCGAUUAAAGCGGCACGCGAGCUGGGUUCAGAACGUCGUGAGACAGUUUGGUCUCUAUCCUCUGCGCUCGUUGGAAUCCUGAGGAGGCCUGCCCAUAGUACGAGAGGACCUGGGUGGACGAACCUCUGGUAUGCCGGUUGUCGCGCCAGCGGCACGGCCGGUUGGCUACGUUCGGGAGGGAUAACCGCUGAAAGCAUCUAAGCGGGAAGCCUGCUCCAAGAUUAGGAUUCCAUGGAUCUUCGAGAUCCUGUAGCCCGCAUGUUGAACACGUGUUUGAUAGGCCGGAGGUGGAAGUCCCGUGAGGGGUGGAGCCGACCGGUACUAACGGGCGACGGCGACACAA